GACGAACCGUGCGAACGUUGUUCGGAUUCACUGGGCUUAAAGGGCGCGUAGGCGGGGCGGCGAGUCGGGGGUGAAAUCUUUCAGCUUAACUGGAAAAGGGCCCCCGAUACUGCCACCCUGGAGGGAGGUAGGGGCAUGCGGAACUUCCGGUGGAGCGGUGAAAUGCGUAGAGAUCGGAAGGAACGCCGGUGGCGAAAGCGGCGUGCUGGACCGUCAUCUGACGCUGAGGCGCGAAAGCCAGGGGAGCGAACGGG
rnacentral:rRNA from 1 species